GACGAACGCUGGCGGCGUGCUUAACACAUGCAAGUCGAACGGAAAGGCCCUGCUUUUGUGGGGUGCUCGAGUGGCGAACGGGUGAGUAACACGUGAGUAACCUGCCCUUGACUUUGGGAUAACCUCAGGAAACUGGGGCUAAUACCGGAUAGGAGCUCCUGCUGCAUGGUGGGGGUUGGAAAGUUUCGGCGGUUGGGGAUGGACUCGCGGCUUAUCAGCUUGUUGGUGGGGUAGUGGCUUACCAAGGCUUUGACGGGUAGCCGGCCUGAGAGGGUGACCGGCCACAUUGGGACUGAGAUACGGCCCAGACUCCUACGGGAGGCAGCAGUGGGGAAUAUUGCACAAUGGGCGGAAGCCUGAUGCAGCAACGCCGCGUGCGGGAUGACGGCCUUCGGGUUGUAAACCGCUUUCGCCUGUGACGAAGCGUGAGUGACGGUAAUGGGUAAAGAAGCACCGGCUAACUACGUGCCAGCAGCCGCGGUGAUACGUAGGGUGCGAGCGUUGUCCGGAUUUAUUGGGCGUAAAGGGCUCGUAGGUGGUUGAUCGCGUCGGAAGUGUAAUCUUGGGGCUUAACCCUGAGCGUGCUUUCGAUACGGGUUGACUUGAGGAAGGUAGGGGAGAAUGGAAUUCCUGGUGGAGCGGUGGAAUGCGCAGGUAUUAGGAGGAACACCAGUGGCGAAGGCGGUUCUCUGGGCCUUUCCUGACGCUGAGGAGCGAAAGCGUGGGGAGCGAACAGGCUUAGAUACCCUGGUAGUCCACGCUGUAAACGGUGGGUACUAGGUGUGGGGUCCAUUCCACGGGUUCCGUGCCGUAGCUAACGCUUUAAGUACCCCGCCUGGGGAGUACGGCCGCAAGGCUAAAACUCAAAGGAAUUGACGGGGCCCCGCACAAGCGGCGGAGCGUGCGGAUUAAUUCGAUGCAACGCGUAGAACCUUACCUGGGUUUGACAUGGAUCGGGAGUGCUCAGAGAUGGGUGUGCCUCUUUUGGGGUCGGUUCACAGGUGGUGCAUGGCUGUCGUCAGCUCGUGUCGUGAGAUGUUGGGUUAAGUCCCGCAACGAGCGCAACCCUUGUUCACUGUUGCCAGCACGUUAUGGUGGGGACUCAGUGGAGACCGCCGGGGUCAACUCGGAGGAAGGUGGGGAUGACGUCAAGUCAUCAUGCCCCUUAUGUCCAGGGCUUCACGCAUGCUACAAUGGCUGGUACAGAGAGUGGCGAGCCUGUGAGGGUGAGCGAAUCUCGGAAAGCCGGUCUCAGUUCGGAUUGGGGUCUGCAACUCGACCUCAUGAAGUCGGAGUCGCUAGUAAUCGCAGAUCAGCAACGCUGCGGUGAAUACGUUCCCGGGGCU
rnacentral:rRNA from 1 species